GUAAGCAUCUGAAAAAUAAUUAUAUAUAUAUAUUUUUUAUUUUUUUAAACAGGGAUGCAAGUGUUAUAACUUGAUUUAGUGCUGCCAGUGGUGAGAGCAGAAAUGUACAAUUACUGAUGUCUGCAAAAUCUCUAUGCAUUUUUCUGAAAUAAUGUAAAUUUCAGUACUCUUUUGUAGCACAGGGACUACUCAUGCUUGUUUUACUAUUAUACUUAUGACAAAUUACCACAACACAUGUGUUUGAGAAACUUGAAUGCAGUGUGUGCAUCAUUCUUGUUGAAGGACUUCGAUAUGUGCUCAAGAAUAUAAAUGAUAAAAUUUGCUUUAAUUUUCACUGGAUUCAACUUGCAAACGUGUAGAUCUGUGUGGUUUGUAGGUAAUGUAUCACAGUUUUAAAAGCAUGUUUUUCUUUUCUGGAUCUAAACGUUCUAUGACAAAUGAAGAAUCUUUGUGGUAUGAAAUUUGUGAAAUAAUGAAUAUUUUUCGAAUCCUAUGAACAAAAUGUUUUUGAGAGAGGACAUCAAACUUUAAGCUUCAAAGUAUCUGUCAAGAAUGGAAAUCCUAGAAAAUAUUCUUGUCAAAAAAGCAAUGUUUAACUACUUCCAUAUUUUAAUUUAUUAACUAUUAGGUGCUGAAAAUAGAUUUGUGCCUUGAUCAAAUCCUUAGUCUGUUUUUUUCUCUGAAUUGGAAGGGUUUGGUUCAACAAGAAUCUCCUCUUUUCAACAUAAAUGUGUUGUGUUGUAUCUUAAAGCUUUGAUCUCAAUUACAAUCGUUGCUCUGUUGGUGUAUUUCUGUGUAUUUUAUGAGACCCUGAAUGUUUUGUUUUGUGGCUGUUACCUGUACCAGUACUAUCCUGUUGCUCUCUGCAGUGUGCAUUACCCACCAGAGGGAGCCGAAGCCAAGAACCGUACAGAUUUUGCUUUGCCUUCCAAUUUUCAGAGGCAGGAAAACUCACAGUUGAGCAAUCAUACAUGAAGUUGGUCCUUACCACCUCUAAGCUGCUUGCUACUUGCUCAAGUCAUUUGUCAUUCUGAAUGCAUUCUAAAUGCUGUGUCAUAAUUUGCCUUCUCCAAAACCAUUAGUAUAUCAGUCACAGCAAUCAUAGAAAUCUGAUGGAAGCCUUUGGAAGUUCCUUAACUAACAGGCGUGCAUGUUUUCUACACCACAGAUUGUGGGUAAUCAACCUGUUAGACCUCCUCUGAGAUUAUUUUUCAAAUUCAAAAUCUUGUCAUAGAAAAAUGGUCACACACAACCCCAAUUUUGGCGCAGGUUUCUGUUUCUUGAUAGAAACUUUUCAUGAGGAAGGUAUGAGAAAGUUUAUAUCAAAUUGCUGUUUAAUAGAGUUUGCUGUACAGCUUUCUCAAUUAGAAAUUGCUUUAUAUAGUCAUCAAUUUAGUUGUAUAAUGGCAUAGCUUGUUGGGAUUUUUUGUAGGUGUUUUCCAGUAUUUCAGUGGGAAUUAAUCUGUCAAAUGUAGUAAACAGAAAUGUGAAAAUUUCAAAAAGAUUAGCAAGAGACUCCUGAGUUUGAAAAACAAAGGACAUCUUCAGUUGUGCAGUUUCCAGUGGUACCUCCUCACCAGUGGCUAUUGAAUAACAGUACUAUAAGACAAUAUGAAUGUGCAUUUUGAGGUUUUCUUAAUAAAAAUAGGAGAAAAUCUUGCAAACAUUUUUGGAAGAGGAGAUGAUUUGUAUUUGCAGGGUCUUUCAGAUGCAGUUACUUAGCUGUAAAGUGACCCUUUAGUCAUAACUUCUGCUUUUAGUUCUCUCGGAUUGCUUUUUACUCUGCUUCUAAUUAUUUUUGACAGCUUUUUUCCUUUGUUUCUGUGCUUAAUUCGCACUGUCAUUUCAAUCUUUCUCUUACUUGGGUUUAUUUUUCUCUUUUUUUUUUUCUUUUGUGAGAUGCUGCUUUCAUAUACUCUGUUUUCACUUUUGACUUUCUAUCACCUCAGAACUGUAUUGCCUUGUAUUUUAUUUUGAGGUCAGGGAAGGGAAAGGAAUAAAUGGCAGCUGCAGAUGCAGGAAAUACACUCAGCUCUGUGUUUGAACAUGUACUUUUUUGUUAUUCCAGGUUUUUGAUCAGACUGGCUCAUGGCAGUAGCUGCAUGAAAUACACAUUUCCUCAUCAGAUACUCCUAAACACAGGAAUUGUUCCAUACUUAUAUCAAGGAAUUCAGUGAAAGAUUAUAUUUGGUGUGUGUACAGGUUAGUAGAAUGUAUUUUCCCCCACUGAGAAUUUAGGACUAGAAGCUCGUUUUUUGGAAUUCAUCUAAAUAUGAGCAUUCCACCAUCACAUUUUUGUUAAUUUUUUUGUUAGAUCUGUUCAUAAUUUCUUGAUACUUACUCCACAGGUCUUUAUUUCUGUAUUGGCAUUAUAUAAUCCCAAUCCAAAAGUUACAAUGGAAUAAUCUUAAGAGCAUUUUGUAGGUAUGAAUAUCCUCAAAUCAUCUUCCACUAAUAAGCUGCUAAUACAGGUACUUCUUCCAAACGGAAGCUGAACAGCAUUCUUUCCUGGUUUGGUAAGACAGUCCAGCAUGCAGGUUUUUGCAGUGUUUGUUGAGACUGUCAAACUGAAAUUUCUGAGAGCAAGAGUUGUGCUAAUGCACCACAGGUGUUGUUCUCUUUGUUGGUAUCUUACCAUGAUUCAUCUUUGCUUGGGGUAAAUAUUGCAGCCGCUGAAAAAAAUUAUAGGUUUCUAAGUUCUAUAGGUUUCCACUUCUCCCAUAUGCAACUGCCAUAUAGAAAAAGGCAGUCAUAAUUCCUUAUACAGUGUGUUUGACAGGAUUAGAAUGAAAAGUGCCACUCCUAGUCUGAUUUUCCAAUUGCACUGGAAAUGUUCUGUAUUAAGGACAGAAGUAAUAUUCAAAGACACAUCUUGUUGCCGAGUAGAAAGCUAACGUGUUAGAAAAAGUUCCUGUAAGAGAAUGGAAGCAAUAAAAGAUGGCUACAUAUACAAGGAAUUAUAAAGAAAGUAAUCUGAAGUGCAUGUUGAUGUCCUUGUUAAGUCCCAUAUUUUGUCACUAGUACACCUGAAGGGUUUAAAAGCUAGAUGUGCAGGUAGUAAUGACAUUGUGGCACAACAAAUCAUAGUGUAUGCUGCAAGAAGAUUCAGUGCUGGUAGAGACAGGCAAACUAUUUCAAAAGAAGUAAAAUCAAGCCACAAUAACCCCAACUACUGUUCAUGAUGAUCUUUUAUUGCAUGAAAAUGUGUGGUUAAUUAGCAUAUUUGGCAAUCCGUUUUAUUCAUGAACUGUCACUGCCAGGGUAGUGAGAUUGCCCCAGCUACCAGUUAAGUUAUAUGUGGCAAGAAAAGCCCAAUCAGGCUGCAUCAGAGCUUCUGGGUUUCAUUCUUUAAUGUACUCAAAUAGCUGAUUCUGACAGUCAUAGACCUGAUAUUGUCACAUAUCUCUUGCAGUACGUUAUACAAACAUAUCUGGAAGCAGAAGUCAGUCUUUCUUGUGUAUGCAUCAGAUUUUAUUUAGUGGUGUGACAGAAUAAGGGUACAGAUAACUUUUCUCUAUAUUGAUUCUCUUAUUUUAUGCUGAAAUAGAAAAGAAACUGUGAACGUUCAAUGCUAGCAAAAGCAAUAUGCCUGCUAAGCUGAUAUGCCAUUCUGUGGCCAGUGUUCAAGCAAGCAGCUGGGAAUUAAUGAGUACUUCCUUGUGGUCUCCAGGUAACGAAGGUUUAGAAGCUAUAUUCUUUCUUCUCCAGAAUAGGAAUUUGCACCUAGUUUUAAAAAAUACUUGAGUGGCCUGUGUUGUCUUCAAGAACAUCUUUUCUAAAUUCUGUAGGAGUUUUUUGAAAAUCACGCUGGCAGCCUUCCAGCAACUUUAGAUGCCUAAUUCUUGGUAAAAUUCUUGCUUUUAGUCUUAACUUUUCUACCCAGCCAAGUUCUAUCUGAAGGCAGCAGAUUUCACUCUUGACCCUAUUUGCACCUACUUCAUUAAUCAUCUGAGUUCUCAUCUAAUUGUAUUCAGCUGCAUUCCAAAUACUAAUACCACUGAGAUAAUAUUUGGGAAUCUGAAGACCAUCGGCAUGUGACCAAGUCACAUUCUGUUCCUUUUGGAGACAUCACACAAGACCAAUGGACUCCACCUCUUUUUUCAUCUGUAACCUAUAAAUUUUGUCCAUUGGCCAGACAAUCCUGGGUGAACUGAAGGUUAAAAAUGGUUGAAAAAUUAACCAAAUUUGUACCUCUUGGCAAUUACUGAUUAUUCCUGUAGAUUUAUUUUUGGAGUCAUGAAAACAGGAUUAAAGUUUUGGAUUCAUUUGGGUGCUGGGAUGAAGUUACUCCGGGUUUUGAAGGCUGUGAUCAUUGUGAUCAGCCAACUCCAACUACUGGAAGGAGGAGCAAAAGCAUCCCUGUGUGCAGACCGAAAGUGACACUAGAUCUACACAGGAAAGACGGAGGAACCGCUGAAGCAGAAGGAACUAAAUCAGCAGAGCUGACAGCAAGAUGUGAUGGGGUGCUAGAUACAGUACUGAUUCCUUCAGAAAUAACUUACAGAUUUGUAACGGGUAAGUGAAUUUAUGAACGAUACUCAACUACUUCCACAGCCAGAACGUACGCAGAACAGUCUCUCUUUCUGCAGACCUCUGUUUUACAAACUGCCCUUCAUUUUUAAAUAAUUGUCUGCUUUGUACAGUUUUGGAAGGAUUCAAGCUCGCACUAAAUGGAAGCCAUAGUUAUUAUCUCAGUGUUGUUCACGGUGAUUUCUUUUCCUGCUGACAUCUUGAAACAGCAGCUUAAGAGGGAACCGCCACUUUUUACUAUAAAUUCUGAAACCUGUACAGAAACAGAAACCAACAGCACUUUGUUCUACUCCAGAUCUUCACCAGAGGAAGAUCAAGUCAGCGCUCUGCCCACCUAAUAACUCACACAGACUAUUUUUCCCUCAACGCCAGUUCUCCAGCUGUCACUGAAAACCCAGGCUUUGUUUUCCUACAGCUUCAGCUGCAUCUGUUGCCUUGACAGGGAAAAAAUUUUGCUCCUGAAAAGUGCCAAGUAAGGCACUCUGUGGUCUGAAGAACUAGAAAGACAUUAUCAGAGGACAAUAUUCUGCUCCCACAUUAUCUCCUGACCAGCCCUCUGCAAGGUAAAAAGCUAACUGUGAGCAUAGCUGCAGAUGUCCCACACAUCUCCUCGCCUGGGAGAACCCAUGGGCACUCACUGCUUUUUCAUAAUGACAAAGAAAAAAACUCCCUCUGCAUUAUUGACACCUUUUGGAUCGGUCACUCCCCAGAUGCAGCUGAUGGAUAUACACCAAACACCUUGCAUGCAUCACCAUCAGGUGAAAUGCCCUCCCGUUCUCCAGAGGGUAGCCGAGUUUCUAACUAGCUGAUGGAGGAAAAAUUUUGUACCCACAGAGAUACAAGUUCACUCAAGUACUUCCUUAUUAAUCCCUUAUUAAUUGGAGGAGGCACCCGUGUCCAACUAGACAGCUUGAAAGCCUCUGCUUAAAAAAGAGACUAAAAAUAACAAACCAGGACCAAGCGUCCAUUGCAGUUAAUCUGCUUAAGUUUGGUGGGACAGACAAAAAAAAAACUAAAAGGGUUCCAACUUCCUCAGCACGGGAGCAGCUCUGCCCCUCCUGCAAGCACCAUCACUGCCAUUUACACUGACCCAGACCACACGGGGGUACUUUAAGGAGAUCCUGGGGCCUGGGCAGCGCAGCCCACACUCCUGCCUCACCGGGACAAGCUCCCACCCGCCCUGUCAGCGGGUCGGCGCCGCUCAGCCUCCGCGGCACGUUUCAGCGACGGCGGAUACUUGCAGUGGGGCAGCACGGCAGUAACCAGAAAUACAAACCGCACAGUCGUGCAGCCCGACAGCACGAGGUGGAGGGAGCGCAGCCCUACAGAACGGGCGUUUAGGAAGCAGCGGCGUCUCCGCCCGCAGCCGGGGCCGACUCCCGCCUGACGGCCCCGCGUGCGCCGACGGGCACGGCGCCCGCGGCUCCCGGCGCGGCGCGGAGAACAAGGGCUCCUAGCGGCUCCGCACCCCCCGGGCCGCGGACGCACGAGCGGGGAGCAGAGGCCGCGCUAAGGCUGAGCGCUGCGGUCGGAGCGGUUCAACCAGCGCAGGGUGCCGAGGCGGGCUGCGAGCGGCGGACCGUGCCGCAGCUCCGCACCUCGUGCUCGCAAGCUGCACCCCCGCCCGCUCCGCGGGGCCGCGUCCAACGCUUCCCCUUCCUUCCACUCCCCUCCGGGUUUUAAGCCGAGAAGGGAGGCCGGGGCCUAACGCCGGGCGCGGAGGUACCGCGGCUCCGGCUCCCCGCUCCGCCAGGGGCGGGGCU